AUGCGAAAGCAGUUGAAGACAAACAGAAAGAAGUCUGGAAACAGAAGUCGAGUAGGUUUGUACAGUUCGUAAGAACAUAUUAUGGCCUCGUCAAGCGGUGGAGAGAGCCACUGAGGGAUCGUCAGAUGUACUCAGUCUCUAUACAGCGCAAGACAUGGGUGAUGAAUCUGCUUUUGUUUUGUGAAGUUAUUGUUGAGGGAACUUUCCCUCUUUCAGUAGCGGAUCGAAUCACACGAUUCUAGCCUGAACAGUCUCGUCCUGGACAUCUAGCGAUUCCAUGGGCGAGCAGCGGAGGAUUUGGUGGAUUACUAGCCAAUGGCAAUCCAAACCAAAGAAUCUGAUUCGGGGGAAUGCCUCAUUGGAUAGCCGGUGCCUUUUUUGGGGGUACUGUGAUUCUCUGAGUGUAACCUCCUCUUUGGUUGCUGAUAUUAAACCUGUGCUGUGAAACAUCGGGACAGUGUUUAGUGGAAAGCAACUAGAGGAAUUCAAAGAGUGCUAUGGUAAGGGG